rnacentral:rRNA from 1 species
AUUGAACGCUGGCGGCAGGCCUAACACAUGCAAGUCGAGCGAGCGGAGGACGGGUGAGUAAUGUAUGGGGACUGCCCGAUCGAGGGGGAUAACUACUGGAAACGGUGGCUAAUACCGCAUAAUAUCGGAUAACCAAUAUGGGAUGAGAGAGUGGGUGGGGUAAAGGCUCACCGAGGCGACGAUCUCUAGCUGGUCUGAGAGGAGGAUCAGCAACACUGGAACUGAGACACGGCCCAGACUCCUACGGAGGCAGCAGUGGGGAAUAUUGGACAAUGGGCGAAAGCCUGAUGCAGCAAGGCCGCGUGUGUGAAGAAGGUCUUCGGAUUGUAAAGUACUUUCAGCGGGGAGGCGUUACCCACAGAAGAAGCACCGGCUAACUCCGUGCCAGCAGCCGCGGUAAUUC